ensembl:lncRNA
CAAAGAGGCGUUGAAGAUGUCAAUCCAAAUUCUGUCCGUUAUUUCCAUGUUUCAGCCAGAAGUUGUGUUCUCUGAGCAGCUUUUAUACUAAUCAGACAGGGCAAAGAGUUCUGAAAACACCACCCAGAGGCUCGUAGGAAGGCUGAACAUCACCCAGGGGCUUGUAGAAAUGCUAAACACCACCCAAAGAGACUUAUAGGAAGGUUAAACACCACCCAGAGGCUUGUAGGGAGGCUAAACACCACCCAAAGAGGCUUGUAGAAAGUUUAAACACCACCCAAAGAGGCUUGUAGGGAGGCUAAACACCACCCAAAGAGGCUUGUAGGGAUGUAAAACACCACCCAAAUAGACUUGUUGGAAGGUUGAACACC